UUUGAAGCCAGAUCACCCCAGUCUUAGUCCCGCAUGCUAACCCGACAGAAGACAAGCUGUGGAGGCUCAGCUUUCAUCAAGUGCCACCUAUUAACUCAAUGUUUGCCACUCUUUCAUAUGGAGAAGACUAAAAGGCUGCACAAAGAGCAGACUUGUACUGGGAACACCACCACACCCAACCAGCAUGGCCAGGGGUACAGUGGCCAACAAGGGCUGAAAAAAGAACAUACAGAAUCUCUGCAAUGUACAGUCUGUUGCCUCAUGCAGUAAUAGCUGCCACAUUUCUCCAGGGAGCACCUUGCCCUGGCUGAGCCUUAGGUUCUGCCAAGUGGGUUCUCUUUUGUGUCCACAAUUCACAGGCUGCAGUUCAAUAUAUGGAGACUGUGGUGUCCCAGUUGCAAAGCUGCCUCCCCUUUAAGUCCUACAAGUGCUGCCAUUGGCCUACUUUCAAUACCAGUUAAAACAGGAUUGUUUGCUCAAGCUUUUGCAGAUUCAGAGAACCUAGCCACUUGCCUUUGGGUUUCUGAGAUUAUUGUUGCUAUAUUGAAUUGUUUGGAACUGUUUGCACAGUUUUUAGAUUGUUUUGCAUCUGUUUAGAAUAGAUAAAUUGUAUAUCCAAUUUCUCAUGAGAGUAUAAAACGCCCCUUUCAAAAAGAAUUGUCCCGAUCCAGCAAAGCAGAAUCAGGGUGAUAGCCUUUUUCCCGAAUAUACAGGUAUCAGACACAGAUGUAUUGCCAAGGAACCUUGACCAUACAUCCUUAGGACCACAACUCCCAGAAUUCCCGAGCUAACUGGGCCUAGUAGUCAGGCUGGCUUUUUAGAAUUGUGUUUUAAAAAGGUGCACAUUCACUAUCUCAAGUACAUAUGCUUCUGGUGGAGAUAAACAUCAUGCUUUCUUGUAAUAUAGCUGGAGUAGUAUUUGCCAUCCUCACUCUGGUAUGACAUUUGUGUGGUACGGAUGUGUGAAACUGUAAUUACUAAUACUGCGGUUCUGAAAGUUUUAACUAGAAAUAUACAGUAUGUAUAGAAUUUAGUAUCCAUAUCCCACUGUUGAAAAAAAUAUUUUUGCAUGUUACCAAAAAUCUAGGCAGUCAGGAAUCAAGGACAGUUGAUUAAUAAUGCAACCACUGAGAGGACUUGUCUGUAUCCUGAUUUACAGUACUGUAUUACGGUAGAGAAUACUCAGAAGUGGUUUACCUUUCCGUUCUUCUGGAACUGUGCAGCUCUCUCAAGACCACACCGGCAGGUGCUACUCACAGGAGGCACAGUGGAGAGAAAAGGGCACAUGAGCAGAAUGCUCAGAAGGAAUCUUCAAAAUUUCUUCCAACCAAGAGUGAUUUUCCAGCAUAGAUCUUCAGAGCCACAUGAAAUAUAUGUUUGCUCAGUCAGCAACACUGGACUUCCUCUUUGUGCAGUUCUUUACACAUUGUUUGUCUUUGAAGAUCUACACUAUGUAUUCAUGUUAUUUAAUAAUUGCAGAAUGAUUCUGGAUAAACCAACAGAUGCAUGUUAUGUCACAACAAAAUAGUUAAACUUCCUUAAAAAUGUAAUAAUAUGCUUCCAUGUUGACCAAAAUUAUGUUGUUUAGUAUAGCAAAUUGCACUACAUUAAGCACAUUGACUCAAUAGGGAUUUAGUGUGCCAACCCCUCUGUAAUUUCCAUUAAGUCAAAUGAGCCUACUCUAACUGUGACUUACUGUGCUAGAUGGAGCCUGUUCCCAUUCCAUGUAAUCAAAAGAUGGUGAAAAUGUGUGUUGCAUUUUCUUUGAGACUGGUACGUUGACAGUGCCCUUAACUGCACCUGAAGGUAGCAAGUUAGGUUACAUAGAGGAUGAGCAGGCUUAUUUGGUUCGCAGCUGUCUCUUCUAACACUCUGUUAUUGCCUUUCUAGAUCUGCCACCUGAAGAGGCCACUUCUCUUUGCCUGGUUUUAAAGGUAACCUUGUUAAAGCCCAGCAUCCUUCAGUCUUGGGAAUGCUGUAUUUUAUUUUGUAACAGUUUUUUUUUUCUGUUCAAUGGGACAAACACUUCAGGUUCUCUCUUGAGAGAAAAGGCAGAGCAAAUGGAUCUGGCAACCUGAAUUUAAUGUCUUGGCCCUGUGUCAUUAAGAACUCUGGCACAGCAAAGUGGCCGAACAGAAACUACACAUGCAUUUUUCCUGAAUAGGAACU